GAUGAAGAACGCAGCGAAAUGCGAUACGUAAUGUGAAUUGCAGAUUUCAGUGAAUCAUCGAAUCUUUGAACGCACAUUGCGCCCGCUAGUAUUCUGGCGGGCAUGCCUGUUCGAGCGUCAUUUCAACCAUCAAGCCCUAGGCUUGCGUUGGAGCCCUGCGGCUGCCGCAGGCUCCCAAAUCCAGUGGCGGGUUCGUCGUCGUACCGAGUGCAGUAAACAUCCUCGCUCAGGGAACGUGACGGGUUCUUGCCGUGAAACCCCCCACAUAUCAAGGUUGACCUCGGAUCAGGUAGGAAUACCCGCUGAACUUAAGCAUAUCAAUAAGCGGAGGA
rnacentral:misc_RNA from 1 species